GCACUACUGAAGAGACCUAACUAGGUCGGAACAACUGUCCAGUGU
rnacentral:hammerhead_ribozyme from 1 species